rnacentral:lncRNA from 1 species
AUGAGUUUGGGAGCGAUCGGUCAAUGAUCAGAGAACAUUGUCUUCUUCAAAUUGGUUUGCUUAGUUUUGUAAAUGGCUUUAAGCUACAUCAAAGCCUUGUAGUGGCCACAACAAAUUAAAUGACAAGAUUUGGUUCAAGACCCCGGGCAAUGCAGGUGGAGGUAAAUCACUAAUAUUAACGAUACACUCAAACAUAGAAAAAAUAAGAAAAUGUACUACUUUAAAAUGGUGAUAGCCUCAAUGGUGCUGCUCAUGCUGUCACUGAUGUUAUAAUGGGACAGAUACAGAGCCGAGAACUCUAUAAAUAGGACAUAGCUUAGCCUGAGUGCCAGUCUGUUUGUGUCACCAUGACAACUCCUUGUCACUCAUAYUCAUGCCAAAAAUAAUUGGCUUGACUAAUAGCAAUGAAGUUGGCAUGAGCACGAACAGAUCUGGGAUCAGGUUAAACGUUUGCUUUGGURAGUGAAACAUUAGCCAAUUCUUCUGUUCAGUGUUUUAGCAUUUCACAUCCCAUAGAGCCGGGUCAUGUUCAUCAGGGAACACCGAAACAAAAUGUUUCGCAGUGGAAAAGGAAAACAAGUUUGUUUUUCGAGAUGGCUCAGCUAGUCCCUAUCAUGUUUACUUCAGUUUGGUGCCUAAUGAAUACGGCCCUGGUCMGAGCUGAAACCAGCUAGCAUCAGGUUAGCUGGAUGUUUCAACCCCACCUUGGUUAGCAAAGUGAAAACCAAACCAUUGUUUUUUUGUUGCUUGAAGGCAGAGAGACAGUUCUUAAGUAGUGUGGACACAAUGUUCUGGAAGGGGAGCAGGUUGGAGGGGUGAGAGAGAGUGUGCGCAACACAGCAGAACAUUUAGCAACAAUUAGGAACGCUCCUGGCUGUGAACACAGCCUCACUGGGGAAUCAUCGUCUUCAAGUUCAGUCUCAGAAACCAGCAGCAGAGGGGAGCCACUGUAGUGAAGGAGGAGAUGUCUAACUGGUCUGCUUGUACUGUGUUCUGCAGUAAGACCCUCCCCAGGGAUAGACUCAAGCUCAUCUCAGGUUUGGGCCAGGACAGACAUAACAGAGGAGGGGUUCAGCUCUAGACCAGGACAUAACAGAGGAGGGGUUCAGCACUGGACCAGGACAGAGCAGAGGAGGGGUUCAGCACAGGACCAGGACAUAACAGAGGGGUUCAGCACUGGACCAGGACAUAACAGAAGGAGGGGUUCAGCCUGGCGGACUAACAGAGGAGGGUUCAGCAGCACUGACCGGGACAGACAUACAGAGGAGGGUUCAGCUAGACACCAGGACAAUAUGACAGAGAGGGUUUCAAGCUCUGACCAGGACAGAGAACAGGCGAGGGGUUCAGCUAUAGAACAGGACAGACAUAAGCAGAGGAGGGUUCAGCCUCAGAUACAGGAACAGACAUAACAGUAGGAGGGGUCUCAGCACUGAUCAGGACCAGACAUUACAGAGGAGGUGUUCAGCACUGGACCAAAAUGACAAUAGAUCAGAGGGGGUUCCAGCAUGACAGGCAGACAUAAAGAGGAGGGGUUCAGCCACUG